GAGAGAGAAAGAAAGAAGAGAGAGAGAAGAAAGAAAGGAAAGAAAGAAAGAAAGAAAGAAAGAAAGAAAGAAAGAAAGAAAGAAAGAAAGAAAGAAAGAGAAAGAAAAGAAAGAAAGAAAGAAAACUACAUCUGAAGUCAACACUAGUAUUGGUGGGAGAGGAAUUUUAUGCUGCAUUCCCCAACAGCCACUAGAUACGCCAAUCAGGUGUGCAUGGUCCAUGCUAUGAUCUGUGAGUAUCAGAUCAACGUCAGCUUGUUCAGCAAGCCCUCAGGACUGGAAACCUCCCUCAAGUCCUCUGCCCCCUCCAUCUCCUUCAACACAGAAGCUUCAGCUCAGGAAAGGAAAGGCCACCUUUCACAUGCAGAAGCGCAUCAGCUUCUGGAGGGGUACUUCAUGAAGGUACUGCCUCCAUCUUCUCAGUCUCCAAACCAUCCCUUGCUUUGGACCUCUCCUUUUCAACUGUGGCCCUGCAGCCCUCUUUGAGAAGAGGGAUGCAAGAGCCUUAGAGUUCCCACUUAUUGAAGCAUAGGAGGAGUGAAGGCUCUCAGGACCUCCAUUCAGGACUCCUGGAGGGGGUAGCAAUGCUUGCAGAGUUCAUAGCGCCCAGAUGCACCUGACCUUAGCUCCAUAUCCCAGGAUGCUCAUCCCUGGAUCCAGGAUGAUGUGCUUUUGGUGCCAGAAGUUUCUGAGUUCCACUUUUCAGAUGGGAUAACACAGCCAAAGAAAUCAGACUUCAUCUUAAAGGGAGACAGGUUUCUGGUCCCUACUCUUCCUGCACUGUGCUGACAGCUGCCCUUCUGGUAGGAGCUGAUAUAGCUAUUCCUAAUCUUAGCUUAUAAACUAAGCAACGCGGUGGGCUGCAUAUCAAGUGAUUUUCAUCAACUGCUGGAUCCUUCAUGAGAGUGGCAGUACACCCAUCAAUGAGAUAAUUUAAAACACUGAGAAAUCUCCAAGAAGACAUAGAAAUCCUUAAUAGGUAAGUACCUAAUAGUGGACCAUCAAGACACAUAAGGCAACAACUAAUAGAACUGAAAGGAGAAAUAGAUGAAUCCACUAUUAUAACUGGAGACUUCAAUAUCCCUCUAUCAGGAAUGAACAGAUCCAGCAAGCAGAAAAUUAGUAAAGAACAUAGUUGAACUCAAAAACAACAUCAAGUAACUAGAUAUAAUUGAUAUCUAUUGACUACUUCAUCCAACAAGAGUAGAAUCUAUAUUCUUCUCAAGCUUACAUGAAACAUUUACCAAAAGAGACCACAUUCUGGGCCACAAAGCACAACUUAGCAUAUUUAAAAUAAUAGAAAUCAUGCAACGUCUGCUCUCAGACAAUAACGAAUUAAACUAGAAAUCAAUAAGAGAAAGAUGGCUGAAAAUUCCAAAAGUACUCGGAGAUUCAAUAACACACGAAUCACAGAAGAAAUCUCAAGUGAUAUUAAAAACAGUUUGAACUAAAUGAAAGUGAAAACACACUGACAACACUAAAUGCUGGUGAAAACGUGGAGCAACAGGAACUCUCAUUCAUUGCUGGUGGGAAUACAAUAUUGUAUAGUCACUUUGGAAGACAGUGUGGAAGUUUUUUAUAAAACUAAAAAUAUGAUCCAGCAAUCAUGACCCUUACCAUUUACCCAAAGGAGCUGAUAAAACCUGCACACAAAUAUUCAUAACAGCUUUAUUCCUAACCGGCCAAGGUAGAAACAAGAAAGCUGUCCCCCAUGACUGUACUAGGGGAUGUUAAUCACAGGAGGGACUAUGCAUGUACCUUUUGCUCAAUUUUUCUGUGAACCUAAAAUUGCUUUAGAAAAUAAAUUCUUUUUUUUUCUUUUUUACAAAUGGUGACUAUAGAAGCUGUCACUCCUGUAAAUUAUUAAAUUUGUUGAGUGAGGAUUAACACAGCAAGUGCUAUAUUUGCCUCUACAUUUUAGAACAACAGACUAUAAAUAUGAGUCUGUUGUUCCAUAAAUUACAUGGGAAACAUAUACAAUCCUAGACCAGCAGUGUCCAUCGGAACUUUCUGGGAUGAUGAAAAUGUUGUAAAUCUGCAAUGUCCAGAGCGGUGCCACAUAGGCUAUUGAGCACUUGAAAUAUAUUAAUAGCUAGUUGGACUGAGGAACUGAAUAAUUAAUUUCAUGGAAACCUUAUACUCAUGUACAUAAUGCAUAGCAUUAUGGGUGUUUCAAACUAUGAUCAACUUUCCAAAAAAGUUCAAACUAUAUUUAGUUAAUAUAUUCUGUAGAAUUAUAAUGAUCUUAACAGAAACCUACACUAUGCCACAUAAAAGCAGAACAUUUGGUGGAAAUUAAAUGAGCUGAAACAACUAAUUUAUGAACCAUGCAUUAUAGAAUUGUUUCCCAAUCUUUCUCUCAAACUGCUCACAGCUAAAUAUUUAAUUUCCCUUUCCAUAAUUUUGCUUUUACUUUGGAAUUUUAUACUUCUGUAUCAGUAUGGCAUGGAGAGGAAAUGUGACUGUAGUUAGGAACACAAGUUCUGCAACUUACUAGUUGUGUGACCUUCAAAUAUUUGCUUCCUCUGUUUAUGCCUCCAUGUUCUCUCCUGUAGAACAAGGAAGCAGUAAUAGCUACACCUCACAAGAUAACUGUGAAGUCCUGAUGAAAUAUCACCUUUUCAUGUAACGUUUUUGAAUUCUCAGUACCACGUAACUGAUCGAUGUACACUAUUUCACUUAAUCCUCCCAUAAUUCAUGCUUUUCCAAAAUUGCUGCCUCUGCCUAUUUUUCAGUGGUUUGGAAAUUAUUUAAAUCUCUCAGUGUAAGAAAAUAAUCUGAAGGCAAACUGAUGAAUCACAUAUUGAUGACUUCUUGCACGCCUAGGUGAUCUUUCCAUCUGUUAAACGUGUUUUUAAAUAACUGUCUGCUAUUUUAAGUUACUAUUUGACAAAGUGUGGCAAAUCAAACAAAAAGAACAUGUAAUUAUAU
rnacentral:lncRNA from 10 species